UACAGAGGUGGCAAGCGUUGUUCGGAAUUACUGGGCGUAAAGGGCGCGUAGGCGGCCAUCUAAGUCAGACGUGAAAUCCCCCGGCUUAACCUGGGAACUGCGUCUGAUACUGGACGGCUUGAGUAUGGGAGAGGGAUGUAGAAUUCCAGGUGUAGCGGUGAAAUGCGUAGAUAUCAGGAGGAACACCGGUGGCGAAGGCGGGUCUCUGGGCAACAACUGACGCUGAGGAGCGAAAGCGUGGGGAGCGAACAGG
rnacentral:rRNA from 1 species